UACGGAGGGUGCAAGCGUUAUCCGGAUUCACUGGGUUUAAAGGGUGCGUAGGUGGGCUGGUAAGUCCGUGGUGAAAUCUCCAAGCUUAACUUGGAAACUGCCGUGGAUACCAUUAGUCUUGAAUCUCGUGGAGGUAAGCGGAAUAUGUCAUGUAGCGGUGAAAUGCUUAGAUAUGACAUAGAACACCGAUAGCGAAGGCAGCUUGCUACACGAGUAUUGACACUGAGGCACGAAAGCGUGGGGAUCAAACAGG
rnacentral:rRNA from 1 species